UACAGAGGGUGCAAGCGUUAAUCGGAAUUACUGGGCGUAAAGCGUGCGUAGUCGGUUAUUUAAGUCGGAUGUGAAAUCCCCGGGCUCAACCUGGGAACUGCAUUUGUGACUGCACGGCUGGAGUGCGGCAGAGGGGGAUGGAAUUCCGCGUGUAGCAGUGAAAUGCGUAGAUAUGCGGAGGAACACCGAUGGCGAAGGCAACUCCCCGUCGGCCUGCACUGACGCUCAUGCACGAAAGCGUCGGGGAG
rnacentral:rRNA from 1 species